AGAAAGGGGGCGGUGGGACGCCGGCCGUUGCUGAGCCCUGCCCGCGGCAACCGGGUUGGUGUGUGACGGGGGGAAAGUGGGGGUUUUGCUGGUAUCGGCUGGGUACAGCCCGAUGGUCGGCUUCCUGUCAGAAACGCGAGCGGGCGCAGUCCUUUGUCCCCGCCAAGUGCGUGUUUGUUCUUCCACCACCAUCACCAACCGUCUCCUGUUUUUCUCCCCCCACCCCCCCAACGACAACCGCCUUCCUCCUUUCCCUCCGCCAGUGGAGGCGCCUUCCUCUCACAGCCGCCUCUCUCUGUUGUCGCUGUUUCUUUUUAAACAUACAUAAGUGGCAGCUGGGGCUUCAGGAAAGCGUGGAAAUGGUGUCGGCUUCCUGACCAGCACCCGGUUUCCUGUCUGAAGAAAAACAAAAUGGGAAUGAACUCCCAUCAGAUCAACAAGGCAGGUGUCAACUCGAAGGAAACUCGACGCUGCAAGAAAAGUAAUAAUCAAUGGCCAAUUGGGCCAGCGCCCCAUGGGACACUGGGAAACCAGGCCUUCAGGAGAAAGGGACCAAAUAACAGUUUGUCUUUUGGGGAGUGAAUAAAGUAAACAUCUGUCGAGCCUUUUUAAAACAAAUCAAUCUUUCAUCACCACACAUGGGAAGAUCGUUGAAACGUGCGGUUAUUUUAAUAGUUGCGUGGAUGUUUUGCAAAGAGGCCGUUGCAAAGAAUGUCUUAAUUAAUAUUCCGGAAGAUGUUUACCGGAAUACUGCUGACUCCAUGACUCUUGGCUCUCUGGCUGCUAGUGCUGGACAACACGUUCUCGGAAAUUGUUGACAAACGAUUUUAACUGCUUAUCUACAGUUCAGGCAUGAUUCCUCGCUAAACUCCAGCACUCGAUCUUUCACCAGUAGAUUCCCAGCAUAUCAUUUUUAUUGAUCUGUUUGCCAUUUAUCGUUACAGUCCUUUGCAAAUAAAAUGGUUGUUUUCA